rnacentral:rRNA from 1 species
AUUGAACGCUGGCGGCAGGCCUAACACAUGCAAGUCGAACGAGUGGCGGACGGGUGAGUAAUGUCUGGGAAACUGCCUGAUGGAGGGGGAUAACUACUGGAAACGGUAGCUAAUACCGCAUACCAUCAGAUGUGCCCAGAUGGGAUUAGCUAGUUGGUGGGGUAACGGCGCACCAAGGCGGCGAUCCCUCGCUGGUCUGAGAGGAGGACCAGCCACACUGGAACAGAGACACGUUCCAGACCCCUACGGGAGGCAGCAGUGGGGAAUAUUGGACAAGGGGCGCAAGCCGGACGAAGCCAGGCCGCGUGUAGGAAGAAGGCCUUCGGGUUGUAAAGGACUUUCAGCGGGGAGGCGUGACCCGCAGAAGAAGCAACGGCUAAUUCCGUGCCAGCAGCCGCGGUAAUUC